rnacentral:rRNA from 1 species
GACGAACGCUGGCGGCGUGCUUAACACAUGCAAGUCGAACGGAAAGGCCCUGCUUUUGUGGGGUGCUCGAGUGGCGAACGGGUGAGUAACACGUGAGUAACCUGCCCUUGACUUUGGGAUAACUUCAGGAAACUGGGGCUAAUACCGGAUAGGAGCUCCUGCUGCAUGGUGGGGGUUGGAAAGUUUCGGCGGUUGGGGAUGGACUCGCGGCUUAUCAGCUUGUUGGUGGGGUAGUGGCUUACCAAGGCUUUGACGGGUAGCCGGCCUGAGAGGGUGACCGGCCACAUUGGGACUGAGAUACGGCCCAGACUCGUACGGGAGGCAGCAGUGGGGAAUAUGGCACAAUGGGCGGAAGCCUGAUGCAGCAACGCCGCGUGCGGGAUGACGGCCGUAGGGUUGUAAACCGCUUUCGCCUGUGACGAAGCGUGAGUGACGGUAAUGGGUAAAGAAGCACCGGCUAACUACGUG